rnacentral:rRNA from 1 species
AUGUCGUCGAGGGACCACUGGAUCCCGCCAUCAUUCCACCCACAAACCCUUCACGAGAGCAGGCAACGCCUCUUUGUAAGCCAACAUUGCCGAUGGAGGUGUCGAGCACCGGACUACUCCUAUACAUCUUCUUUGAAGCUCCACAACGACACUAGAGUACACAUUACCUCGAUAGGCGAGUUGGAGGAAAAAGCUCUAGGUCAUCUCUGUCGCCACGUUGACCCCUCUCGGAGAAACAUCAUCAUGGAUUCGUCGACGAUGGUGGAAUCUGGCAUGUUGGUCAAGGAUUUGGAGACACCUUAUUCGGUGGUGUUGUCAUCACUACCGAAGCCGAAGAUGAACCGAUUAAAAUCUACCAACGAAGAUAACCUACAACUGUAG